rnacentral:rRNA from 1 species
AAAAAGAACCUGAAACCGUGUACGUACAAGCAGUGGGAGCACAGAGCAAUCUGUGUGACUGCGUACCUUUUGUAUAAUGGGUCAGCGACUUAUAUUCUGUAGCAAGGUUAACCGAAUAGGGGAGCCGAAGGGAAACCGAGUCUUAACUGGGCGUUAAGUUGCAGGGUAUAGACCCGAAACCCGGUGAUCUAGCCAUGGGCAGGUUGAAGGUUGGGUAACACUAACUGGAGGACCGAACCGACUAAUGUUGAAAAAUUAGCGGAUGACUUGUGGCUGGGGGUGAAAGGCCAAUCAAACCGGGAGAUAGCUGGUUCUCCCCGAAAGCUAUUUAGGUAGCGCCUCGUGAAUUCAUCUCCGGGGGUAGAGCACUGUUUCGGCAAGGGGGUCAUCCCGACUUACCAACCCGAUGCAAACUGCGAAUACCGGAGAAUGUUAUCACGGGAGACACACGGCGGGUGCUAACGUCCGUCGUGAAGAGGGAAACAACCCAGACCGCCAGCUAAGGUCCCAAAGUCAUGGUUAAGUGGGAAACGAUGUGGGAAGGCCCAGACAGCCAGGAUGUUGGCUUAGAAGCAGCCAUCAUUUAAAGAAAGCGUAAUAGCUCACUGGUCGAGUCGGCCUGCGCGGAAGAUGUAACGGGGCUAAACCAUG